UCAUCUGUUCUCUAGAUCUUGCUAGACCCUCUAAAGGUCAUUGUCGGGCUAGGCAGACCGCUGGAUUGCUGUCCAUGUGCCAGGCAUUACUUUGGCCUCUUGGGGGCCUCCAUUGACUGAGCAGAAAAGAGAGAAACAAGAAUUGGAGGAUAAUUAAGCAUGUACAAAAACAAUGUGAAAUGUUACCACUGGAUGCUGAGGAACAAAUACUUGUUAUGGGCUCAGCACUAUUAGCUGUGUGACACUGGGUCGCAAGCUGAAUAUGGGAAGCAGUAGGUAAGGCAGAAGGUGAGCUUCAGCAAGAGGAAGAAGGCCUGGGGCCAUGGCCACCAGAGCACGUGGAUCCCCACCGAUGACUGGCUGAGGAGGCAUCUAGGGGAAGGGUUGGCUAAUGGCAGGAUAUGAAGAGUAUUUACUUCUGGAUGUUACUUGUCGCUCUGUUGGGACUGAAAGAUAAAUGUCUAGUUAUUAACUCAUUGUCUUCAAGGGACCACGGUUGGCCCCUUUUUCCUUCCCACCAGCCUCCCUACCUCAUUCAACACCACUUCCUUGCUCGUGUUGGAUCGGAACCAGUUACUCAUUUAGUCUUGGUUCCAUUCACAGCUGAACUUCUCUCAUGAUCAUCUGCUGGUUUCAAAUAAGAGCCCCAUCCUAUUCCCAGCCCCCUCAUGGGCACUGCCCAGUCAGGCACUCACCAUCUCACCAUUAUUGCUUGGAAGAGUGAGAUACAACAGGGAACUGAGAGGGAUAUGUCCAGCUGAGGAUGAGACCAGGGAGCAAAUAGGACAGGGGGUGGGGCUCAUAGGCCAAAUGUUCCAAUGGUGGCAGGGAAAGCUCUGGUACUUAUGGAGUCAGAUUACUUCACUGAUGAAUCAUACCACCCAUUUAAGGAAAAAAUUGUAUCAGUUCUACCCAAACUCUUGUAGGCAAUUGAAGGAAUGGGAAUACUUUGUAGGUCAUUCUAUGAGGCUAAUGUUAAUUCUUAAUACAUAGUAAACAAUAAAAAAAGAAAACAAAGACAUUAUAAGAAAGCUACAGACUAAUAUCAUCAUGCAAGGGUUGUAAAAAUUCUUAACAAACUUCCAGCAAAUUAUUUCCAACAAUAUAUAAACACAAUGAUAUAUUAUUGCCAGGAAUGUAAUAUAUUUAUUCCAGGAAUGCAAAGUUGGUUUAAAAUUUGAAAAUCAGUCUAUGUAAUUCACCAUGUUAACAAACUAAAAACAAGAAAACACACACAUACACACAAAACUAAACCAAAAACCAGACCUUAUUUUCAUCUCAAUAGACCAAGAGAAAGCAUUUGCCAAAUUCAAUAGCUAUUUAUGAUAAAAUCUCUCCAUUAACUAGGAACAGAAGGAAACUUCUUCAACCUGAUUAAUGUGUUUAUAAAAAAUCUCUUCUGUUCUCCUUUCCUUUGUAGUCAAGUAGCAUCCAGACCAAUGAAUAGAGUGGACCUAGAAUAAGCUUUUGAGUCAGAAACACUUGAGUUUUCCCACUGCUGUGAACAUGCUCAUGUUAAAUAGCCUCUCUGGGCCAGCAUGUUCUCAUUUGUAACACAGAGAUAAUAAAUAAGUUAUGCCUUGUUACUGCCAGCAUUGCUUG